rnacentral:rRNA from 1 species
UGCCAGCAGCCGCGGUAAUACGUAGGGUGCGAGCGUUAAUCGGAAUUACUGGGCGUAAAGCGUGCGCAGGCGGUUUGCUAAGACAGUUGUGAAAUCCCCGGGCUCAACCUGGGAACUGCAAUUGUGUCUGGUAGACUAGAGUUUGGCAGAGGGGGGUGGAAUUCCUGGUGUAGCAGUGAAAUGCGUAGAUAUCAGGAGGAACACCGAUGGCGAAGGCAGCUAUCUGGAAUAAUACUGACGCUGAGGUACGAAAGCGUGGGGAGCAAACAGGAUUAGAUA